rnacentral:rRNA from 1 species
GACGAACGCUGGCGGCGUGCUUAACACAUGCAAGUCGAACGGAAAGGCCCUGCUUGCAGGGUACUCGAGUGGCGAACGGGUGAGUAACACGUGGGUGAUCUGCCCUGCACUUCGGGAUAAGCCUGGGAAACUGGGUCUAAUACCGGAUAGGAGCCAUUUUUAGUGUGAUGGUUGGAAAGUUUUUUCGGUGUAGGAUGAGCUCGCGGCCUAUCAGCUUGUUGGUGGGGUAAUGGCCUACCAAGGCGGCGACGGGUAGCCGGCCUGUGGGGGUGGACGGCCACACUGGGACUGAGAUGCGGCCCAGACUCCUACGGGAGGCAGAAGUGGGGAAUAUUGCACAAUGGGCGCCAGCCGGAUGCAGCGACGCCGCGUGGGGGAUGACGGCCUUCGGGUCGUAAACUCCUUUCGCUAGGGACGAAGCUUUUUGUGACGGUACCUAGAGAAGAAGCACCGGCUAACUACGUG